rnacentral:rRNA from 1 species
AUAUACGACCGUACCGCAAACCGACACUGGUGCGCGAGAUGAGUAUUCUAAGGCGCUUGAGAGAACUCAGGAGAAGGAACUCGGCAAAUAGACACCGUAACUUCGGAAGAAGGUGUGCCCUAUUAGUGUGUAGUGAACAACGAAGCAUGAAUGGGUUGCAAAAAAUCGGUGGCUGCGACUGUUUAUUAAAAACACAGCACUCUGCAAACACGAAAGUGGACGUAUAGGGUGUGACGCCUGCCCGGUGCUGGAAGAUUAAAUGAUGGGGUGCAAGCUCUUGAUUGAAGUCCCAGUAAACGGCGGCCGUAACAAUAACGGUCCUAAGGUAGCGAAAUUCCUUGUCGGGUAAGUUCCGACCUGCACGAAUGGCGUAACGAUGCCACACUGUCUCCUCCUGAGACUCAGCGAAGUUGAAAUGUUUGUGAUGAUGCAAUCUCCCCGCGGAAAGACGGAAAGACCCCACGAACCUUUACUGUAGCUUUGUAUUGGACUUUGAACAGAUCUGUGUAGGAUAGGUGGGAGGCUUUGAAGCAGGGUCGCUAGAUCUUGUGGAGCCAACGUUGAAAUACCACCCUGGUGUGUUUGAGGUUCUAACCUAGGUCCAUUAUCUGGAUCGGGGACAGUGCAUGGUAGGCAGUUUGACUGGGGCGGUCUCCUCCCAAAGCGUAACGGAGGAGUUCGAAGGUACGCUAGUUACGGUCGGACAUCGUGACGAUAGUGCAAUGGCAUAAGCGUGCUUAACUGCGAGACUGACAAGUCGAGCAGAUGCGAAAGCAGGACAUAGUGAUCCGGUGGUUCUGUAUGGAAGGGCCAUCGCUCAACGGAUAAAAGGUACUCUGGGGAUAACAGGCUGAUACCGCCCAAGAGUUCAUAUCGACGGCGGUGUUUGGCACCUCGAUGUCGGCUCAUCUCAUCCUGGGGCUGUAGCCGGUCCCAAGGGUAUGGCUGUUCGCCAUUUAAAGAGGUACGUGAGCUGGGUUUAAAACGUCGUGAGACAGUUUGGUCCCUAUCUUCCGUGGGCGCUGCAGAUUUGAGGAAGCCUGCUCCUAGUACGAGAGGACCGGAGUGGACACACCUCUGGUGUAUCGGUUGUCACGCCAGUGGCAUUGCCGAGUAGCUAAGUGUGGAAGAGAUAACCGCUGAAAGCAUCUAAGCGGGAAACUCGUUUCAAGAUGAGAUCUGCCGGGGCCUUGAGCCCCCUAAAGAGUCGUUCAAGACCAGGACGUUGAUAGGUCAGGUGUGGAAGU